rnacentral:rRNA from 1 species
UACGUAGGGUGCUAGCGUUGUUCGGAAUCAUUGGGCGUAAAGCGCGUGUAGGCGGUUAAUUAAGUCGAGUGUGAAAUCCCUAGGCUCAACCAAGGAAGUGCAUUCGAAACUGAUUAGCUAGAAGAUGGUAGAGAAAGGUGGAAUUCCAAGUGUAGAGGUGAAAUUCGUAGAUAUUUGGAGGAAUACCGGUGGCGAAGGCGGCCUUUUGGGCCAUUCUUGACGCUGAGACGCGAAAGCGUGGGUAGCAAACAGG